rnacentral:rRNA from 1 species
AGAGUUUGAUCCUGGCUCAGGAUGAACGCUAGCGGCAGGCCUAACACAUGCAAGUCGAGGGGUAACAGGAAAGCUUGCUUUCGCUGACGACCGGCGCACGGGUGCGUAACGCGUAUGCAACCUACCUCAUACUGGAGAAUAGCCCCUGGAAACGGGGAUUAAUACUCCAUAGUAUCAUUCUUUCGCAUGUUUGAAUGAUUAAAGAAUUUCGGUAUGAGAUGGGCAUGCGUCCCAUUAGCUAGUUGGUGAGGUAACGGCUCACCAAGGCUACGAUGGGUAGGGGGCCUGAGAGGGUGGUCCCCCACACUGGUACUGAGACACGGACCAGACUCCUACGGGAGGCAGCAGUGAGGAAUAUUGGUCAAUGGAGGCAACUCUGAACCAGCCAUGCCGCGUGAAGGAUGACGGCCCUAUGGGUUGUAAACUUCUUUUGAAUAGGAAGAAACUUAUCUACGUGUAGAUAACUGACGGUACUAUUAGAAUAAGGAUCGGCUAACUCCGUGCCAGCAGCCGCGGUAAUACGGAGGAUCCAAGCGUUAUCCGGAUUCAUUGGGUUUAAAGGGUCCGUAGGCGGAUCUUUAAGUCAGUAGUGAAAGCCGACAGCUUAACUGUCGAACUGCCAUUGAUACUGGAGAUCUUGAGUACAAAUGAAGUAGGCGGAAUGAGUCAUGUAGCGGUGAAAUGCAUAGAUAUGACUCAGAACACCGAUUGCGAAGGCAGCUUACUAACAUGUAACUGACGCUGAGGGACGAAAGCGUGGGGGAGCGAACAGGAUUAGAUACCCUGGUAGUCCACGCCGUAAACGAUCAUCACUCGCUGUUGGCGAUAUACUGUCAGCGGCCAAGCGAAAGUAUUAAGUGAUGCACCUGGGGAGUACGCCGGCAACGGUGAAACUUAAAGGAAUUGACGG